UCGGGAACCGUGAGACAGGUGCUGCAUGGCUGUCGUCAGCUCGUGUUGUGAAAUGUUGGGUUAAGUCCCGCAACGAGCGCAACCCUUAUCCUUUGUUGCCAGCGGUCCGGCCGGGAACUCAAAGGAGACUGCCAGUGAUAAACUGGAGGAAGGUGGGGAUGACGUCAAGUCAUCAUGGCCCUUACGACCAGGGCUACACACGUGCUACAAUGGCGCAUACAAAGAGAAGCGACCUCGCGAGAGCAAGCGGACCUCAUAAAGUGCGUCGUAGUCCGGAUUGGAGUCUGCAACUCGACUCCAUGAAGUCGGAAUCGCUAGUAAUCGUGGAUCAGAAUGCCACGGUGAAUACGUUCCCGGGCCUUGUACACACCGCCCGUCACACCAUGGGAGUGGGUUGCAAAAGAAGUAGGUAGCUUAACCUUCGGGAGGGCGCUUACCACUUUGUGAUUCAUGACUGGGGUGAAGUCGUAACAAGGUAACCGUAGGGGAACCUGCGGUUGGAUCAC
rnacentral:rRNA from 1 species